CACAAAUUUGACAGAUUCCGGUCGCUGACGAGAAGCCAAAACGUUCAAGCACUCCAAAUUGUUUGGACAAAUGUAAAUUCCUUAUACCAAGCUUUGUUAGAUCCACGAGAGUCCUCAAAACCACCAAAGAGAAGGAGAAAAAGCCGGUAAUUAAAAAAGUCGAAUCUGCAGCCACUACUAAGAUUAUGAAAGCUCUUGUGAGAAAACUCCAGGUGAUGAAGAAGCCAACUCUCAUGUCACAACUGUUGAAGAAACUGCAGAAACGUCGUCAGGCAAAUUCACGCAUACUCUGAUAGAAAACAUCCCUCGAUGUUUACUUUUGGCAAUGCAAGUUUAGUAUAACAAGUUACAUUUCCCCAACAAUUUACGGUUUCUAGAAACGAAGAUUAUAUAUUCAAACAAAUGGAAUCAAUAUCUGUUUGUGAACAUAUAUUAAGAAUUGAAAUGUAAGCCUUUUUAUUG